UACGAAGGGGGCUAGCGUUGCUCGGAAUUACUGGGCGUAAAGGGAGCGUAGGCGGGUUAUCAAGUUGGGGGUGAAAGCCCGGGGCUCAACCUCGGAAUUGCCUUCAAAACUGAUAACCUGGAGUAUGGAAGAGGUAAGUGGAACUCCGAGUGUAGAGGUGAAAUUCGUAGAUAUUCGGAAGAACACCAGUGGCGAAGGCGACUUACUGGUCCAUUACUGACGCUGAGGCUCGAAAGCUAGGGGAGCAAAUGGG
rnacentral:rRNA from 1 species